rnacentral:lncRNA from 1 species
AUGUUACACCUUGGUAAUCGGCUGUUUGAUGGGGACAAUGAGUUUGACGUGAUGAGGUACAUAGUGGAGCUAUUUGGUCAACCUCCGAAUCGAAUGCUAAAUGCAGGCAUAAAAACUAAUCAAUUCUUUAAGCAAAGCAUGUGCGCAUGGAAUCGAUCAUGGAAACUAAAGGUAUCUGUACCUAGUUUGUCUAAGAUAUUUCUUACGGACUCCCAAAUUCACAAAUUAAUAGGUAGGAAUGUUUAUUUUGUUGUGCUUAACUCAUUUUCUGUUAUCUGUUCAGACAGGCUACAGUAGAGAGGAAGCUUCUGGAUUCUCUGGAUGACAUUUUAAGCGUAUGUUUUUCCAGUUUUAAUUUGUUCUUCAUAUCAAUGUAACAACACUUUCUCUAUAGCAUAAAGAACAUAUUUACAGGGUAAUUAGCUACUUUAAAUCAAUUUUUAUUGUUCCAGGCCUUCCCUUCUAAUGGCAGCGAACAUCCAGAACUUAAUCUUUUUGUUAACAUGCUAAAGAACAUGCUUGACCUUGAUCCUGCUACACGCAUUACCCCAGCUCAACUGCUGCAACAUGGUUUUCUGACAAACACUGAGUAAGUCUACACAAAGAUCAUUCAUUUCAGUCCUAAAACCCUUGAUUUAUCCAUUUGAAAAAAUUGCAGGAUUCUCAGAUAAUUAUUUAAGUCAAGUAUUUGUUGUCUUGAAGGGUGGGGGCUACCUCUAAAGAGCCAGAGGUUACUGCCAGCCAGGAAAAUGGACAAACUUUACAGACGCAGUGUGAAAACCCCCAGCAGCACCAAGAGAGCCACUUAAAAACAGGGCAGAAAAGAAAUCGUGACUCAAAAGAUGAUGACCCAACUUGUCACGACUCCAAGCGGCCUAGAAUACAGUCAAGGGUGACACCAAGAAAGUACACACAGAUAAAUGCUAAUAAUUCCAGUGUUCAGAGGAAGCUGCCUGACGGGAAGGAUGGUGGGCCUCAUCGCUCCACCUCGAUGGCCGGGCCCAGGUUCAGCCAAAAAGCUUUGAAAGAACAAGGCGAUACACAGGCAGUAAAGGAGGGGAAAAGUAACUGACUCCCUCAAUACCUACAGUAUGUGUGGGGUACAGUCCCAUCUGGUCUUUCAAUCACAUAUUCACUCUGAAUUACAAUAAAGGAAGCUGAUUUCAUUAUGUUAAACAUUAGUAUCUGUUUUUUGGUGCAUUCAAAUUAAUAUAAUUAUUAUUUGGGAACCUAUUCCCUUGUUUUGUUGUGCC